ACAAUGAAGAGUUUGAUCCUGGCUCAGGAUGAACGCUAGCUACAGGCUUAACACAUGCAAGUCGAGGGCAGCAUUUCAGUUUGCUUGCAAACUGGAGAUGGCGACCGGCGCACGGGUGAGUAACACGUAUCCAACCUGCCGAUAACUCGGGGAUAGCCUUUCGAAAGAAAGAUUAAUACCCGAUGGCAUAAUUAGACCGCAUGGUCUUAUUAUUAAAGAAUUUCGGUUAUCGAUGGGGAUGCGUUCCAUUAGGCAGUUGGUGAGGUAACGGCUCACCAAACCUUCGAUGGAUAGGGGUUCUGAGAGGAAGGUCCCCCACAUUGGAACUGAGACACGGUCCAAACUCCUACGGGAGGCAGCAGUGAGGAAUAUUGGUCAAUGGGCGCAGGCCUGAACCAGCCAAGUAGCGUGAAGGAUGACUGCCCUAUGGGUUGUAAACUUCUUUUAUAUGGGAAUAAAGUUUUCCACGUGUGGAAUUUUGUAUGUACCAUAUGAAUAAGGAUCGGCUAACUCCGUGCCAGCAGCCGCGGUAAUACGGAGGAUCCGAGCGUUAUCCGGAUUUAUUGGGUUUAAAGGGAGCGUAGGUGGACAGUUAAGUCAGUUGUGAAAGUUUGCGGCUCAACCGUAAAAUUGCAGUUGAUACUGGCUGUCUUGAGUACAGUAGAGGUGGGCGGAAUUCGUGGUGUAGCGGUGAAAUGCUUAGAUAUCACGAAGAACUCCGAUUGCGAAGGCAGCUCACUGGACUGCAACUGACACUGAUGCUCGAAAGUGUGGGUAUCAAACAGGAUUAGAUACCCUGGUAGUCCACACAGUAAACGAUGAAUACUCGCUGUUUGCGAUAUACAGUAAGCGGCCAAGCGAAAGCAUUAAGUAUUCCACCUGGGGAGUACGCCGGCAACGGUGAAACUCAAAGGAAUUGACGGGGGCCCGCACAAGCGGAGGAACAUGUGGUUUAAUUCGAUGAUACGCGAGGAACCUUACCCGGGCUUAAAUUGCAUUUGAAUAAUCUGGAAACAGGUUAGCCGCAAGGCAAAUGUGAAGGUGCUGCAUGGUUGUCGUCAGCUCGUGCCGUGAGGUGUCGGCUUAAGUGCCAUAACGAGCGCAACCCUUAUCUUUAGUUACUAACAGGUCAUGCUGAGGACUCUAGAGAGACUGCCGUCGUAAGAUGUGAGGAAGGUGGGGAUGACGUCAAAUCAGCACGGCCCUUACGUCCGGGGCUACACACGUGUUACAAUGGGGGGUACAGAAGGCAGCUACCUGGUGACAGGAUGCUAAUCCCAAAAGCCUCUCUCAGUUCGGAUCGAAGUCUGCAACCCGACUUCGUGAAGCUGGAUUCGCUAGUAAUCGCGCAUCAGCCAUGGCGCGGUGAAUACGUUCCCGGGCCUUGUACACACCGCCCGUCAAGCCAUGAAAGCCGGGGGUACCUGAAGUACGUAACCGCAAGGAGCGUCCUAGGGUAAAACUGGUAAUUGGGGCUAAGUCGUAACAAGGUAGCCGUACCGGAAGGUGCGGCUGGAACACCUCCUUU
rnacentral:rRNA from 1 species